rnacentral:misc_RNA from 1 species
AAGUCGUAACAAGGUCUCCGUAGGUGAACCUGCGGAGGGAUCAUUACACAAUAACAAGGCGGGCUGGACACCCCCCGUUGGGCACUGCUUCACGGCGUGCGCGGCGGGGCCGGCCCUGCUGAAUUAUUCACCCGUGUCUUUUGCGUACUUCUUGUUUCCUGGGUGGGCUCGCCCGCCCUCAGGACCAACCACAAACCUUUUGCAAUAGCAAUCAGCGUCAGUAACAACGUAAUUAAUUACAACUUUCAACAACGGAUCUCUUGGUUCUG